GAGUUCUUGUCGUGAAAUGAUUUGUGCUGUUUUUUUUUUUUAACUAACAAUCGUAAUAAAGAUUACAAAUUGUUGUUGUAACACACUCUAUUUGAAUCUCCGGUUCUCAAUUUAUUGAGAAAUACGAACAACGCUUCGAUUUUAGUUCGAUUUCCUUUCAGUACAAAGAUUCACGUUGCUGUAAGAGCCGAUGUCGACGAUGACAAUGCUUGCAUUGUCAUUGAAGACAUUAAUGAAGAUGAAUCUUCAAAUUCGCCAGCCAAUUAACCGCCAAAACUCUCCAAUUCUAUUGGUUAAUGCUCUGUACACCACUUUUAUCUUCUGGAAACUUUUCUACUAUUUCAAGCAAGGACAAGCUAGGCCUGAUACAUGAGUAGCAAAACAAGCUGAACACAUGGUCCACGUGAAAGGUAGAUUGAGCUGGUUAUCAACGUGAGGCGUGGUCUUAACCGAUUGGCAGUUGGACGGUCCAAGAAAUGGUAUAAAUAUUCGGAGAAAACGACACAAUCAUCACCAUUAUCCACGAUCAUUAUCGUCAUUAUUACAACAAUUAUUUU